GCCUGGCUGGCUCAGUAGGAAAAGCAUGAGACUCUUGAUCUGAGGGUUGUGAGUUCAAGCCUCACAUUGGGUG
rnacentral:tRNA from 1 species